CCAUUCUGCUGCCCUGCCCACAGCCUUGCUCGGCUGUCCGCCUGGCACAGAGGACGCCUGCCAGCUCUUCUAGGAGGGGUCCUUGGGCUGGGACAGUCAGUCUGCUCCCCCACGACCCUCCCCCACAGCACAGAGCGAAGCAAGCACUCACUUAGAUUAAUUAAUCUGCUGCCCAGCCUGCUCCUCCAACUUAUCUUUUAUUCAUGGACGAGCAGCAUUCUCCGCUUUACCAGGACGUGGGCAUCAAUAUUUCAUCUUGCUUAGCCUGCUAGCACCCAGCUCCCUCUCUCUUGCUUCCCACGGGCUCUAGGACCCAGAAGCUGGGCGUGCUGGUCGACCUGCAGACCUAGGAUGCCAGCCGGCCUCCUUGGGCCCCUGACCUGUCCUCCAUGCCAUCCAUCGCUGGCAGAGCGGGGCCCCAGCCAGGUGCAUUUCUGAACACCGUCUUGGUCCAGGCUGUACCUGGCCCUGGCUGCAGCCCUGCCACCCCUUCUCCUUCCUUGGGAGGAUUACAUCGUUGAAUCAUUGAACCAACCCAGGGAGCAGCAGAUUUCUGUGAUCACAGCCAGAGGACCGUCCCAAGGCACUCACAGGGACUGUCCUCCCCAGGGAAACCAAGGCUCGGGAGGACUGGACAGGCCAAAGCCAAGGAAGAUGGCAGAGCUGGGGUGUGAGCUCAGUCGUGUCCAACUCCAAAGCCCCCACUGCCCUCUGCCGACUGAGGCCCCACAUGCUGCCUGCGUUCAUCACCCAGACACUGCGCCUGUCUGCACAGGACUCCCAGAUCGAGGCAGAUGUGCCUGGUGAUCUCAAGGAGACGUGGACAGGGCCCCCCAGGCUGGGGCAGCCGGGUUCUGUCUCCUCCUGCUCUGCUGCCCACUAGCUUGCAGACCCCGGCUAAUCACUUUCUGAGAUUCAGUUUCCUAUCUGUAGAGUAGAAACUGACUCGGUUGAUAGGAGCUCCGCAUAUGAAAAUGCAGGUGGAAAAUGCCUGUAAACCCUAAAUGGCUCUAGAAUUAUUUGGUGGAAGAAGACUUAGGCUGUUUCCAUCCUGCCCCACCGCCUUUUUUUCUUGCUGCCUGCAUCCCCAGACUUCCUACCAACACCCAGUUCAGAUUUACCUCCUCCUCCAGGAAGCUUCCUCCAAGGGAGGAUUGACUCCUUCCAAGGUACAUUGUCCCAGCUGCUUCCUGCUUUGGGUUUCGCAUUUGAGUCCUUAAAUUCUUUGGGAGAGCACCGGUAUAUGCAUCCAAGCCUCCUACAGACUGUUAUGGCACAGGGCAGUGCCUUUGUUCCCUCCCCUCUUUCUGAAUGCUCAGACCUCUGGCCCUGCAUUCAGGCUGUACCGCAUCAACGGUGCAGGCUCACUGGCUGGGUGGAGAUGGACACUGAAAACCUACAGAUAAUCCCCAAACCAAGAAGGGUGGUACAGGGCAGCGGAUGUGUGCGAGGGGAUGAGUGCACACAUGUACCCUCUUCUGUGUCUGCAGCUGUCACCUGAGCUUGUCUGCAGCGGACACUGUACCCAGCAUUUAUUUUAUAGUUUAUCGAGUGCUUCCCCGUAUGUUAAACGAUAUGGUUCUCAAUAGCUUCCACUAGGGAAGUGGCAGUGGUAGGGGCCCACUGUCGCUGCUCAGAGCAGGACAGAGUCCAGCCUUGCCCACCACCCCUACGACCCACGAGGAGCCCCGGCCUCUGCCUCCCUCCGAAGCUGUGGUGCUCACCGGAGGUUCCUAGGGCGGACGGGGAGCACUGGAGUGUGUGCCAGGGAGGCCUCACCGAGGGGGGAAGGCGACUUCUGAGGGUUUCAGGACUCCCCCAGAAGCAUGUGCUUGGAGCAGAGCCACCCCAAGUCCGGCAGGAAUCUAAGCUGUGACCCAGAACACACUUGCGAUUGGUCUCAUUGAGGCCAUGGGGGCUGGGCCUCCUUCCUCUGGAGUCAUGGUGCCCUUGGGGGCCUGAGCAAGAAGAGAGGGGCUGGAACCCGAGGAGGGGUCUUGAGGACCUCUGCCCAGCCUGGGCGGCCCCUUCCCUCCUCCCAGUACUGCUCCCCAGAAUGAGGCAGCAGCAGAGGGGCCCUCAGAAACACUUGAGGCCUGAUUGGGCGUAAGUGUCUGAUAAUGACUCCCAUCAAAUGUCAAGCUGCGUGCUGCGGCUCCUGGGGCUGAUUACUCCCCCUGGGAGGGGGUGCAGUGGGGGAAGUCUGAUCCUGGAUGCUUCUCCACUGUGGAGAUCCACCCCAGGCUGGUCGGCAAGGCAAGGCAAGGCAGUUCUCCUGGCUGGGCUCACCCUGCACACAGCUCCAGGGCCCGCCCUGCUGAGCACUGCCUCUGGCUGGAACUGAAGGGGCGGGGCCGAGACAAGCACUUCCCCAAAGCACUGCCCCACCCAGGGCCUUGCAAUGGACAGAGGAAAAGGAACCUGGACUGGCUCUUUGCAGAAAAGGCAAGGUUCUGGGGAGCACGAGCCACCGAGACUCGAUGACUGUGACAAAAGUGUUUCUCAGGAGUCUCUGGGUUAGCUGAGUGAGACUGCUGGUCUGGGCCUUAUCUCAGAGCUGGCUCUCUGUCACCUCUGCUGUGUUCUGUUGGCUAUCACAAGUGCUGCAGUUUGGAUCUUGAAUGUUUCUUGGAGGCUCAUGGGCUAUGUCACCACAGGUCAAAGUGACAGAGCCAAAUAGUCAGGGUUUGAAACUUCUGAGACUCUGAACCAAAGUAAACCUUUCUUUUCUUUAAGUUAAUUCUCUCAGGUAUUUUGUCAGAGUAACAGGACGCUGACUAACACAGCAAGUCACAAGGCAGUUUAGAUUCCAUUGGAAAAGAAACAGACUCCAUUUCCUCCUGGGAGAAGCUAUAAACUCCCAUCACCAAGGGCUGUGAGUACCAAGAGAUGGACUUGGAGAAUAUCAUGAUUGGAAAAUAGUUUGAGUGUCCCUUGAGGGUCCGGUUGCUGGAGGCUUCACCCUCAGGGUAAGACAGCAAGUGGACAAAUACUUAUAAAUCCUAAAGUGCUGUGCCUAUGUCCCUUGCUAGAGUCACAGGCCUCCUUCGUGACAACAGGCUUCCUGGGAAAAACUGUCCUGUUGUCUUGGGGACUUAUGGAUUUUGUUCAUUUCCGGUAAUAACUAAUACUAGGCUUUUUUAAAUUAUUAAGUAAUUUCUUCUUUGGAAGAAGAAACAUCAAAGAGUUUGCUGAGUUAGACUUGUGGCAGAGAAAGUUCUAGAAAUGAAGUCACGGUCCUCCAGGGCAGGAGGCUGAGGGCACUAAGUGUCACUCUGAGUGUCUGAGCAGUUCAGAGCCAGCCAGUGUCCCCGAUCCACUCUGUGUCCCAAGUGUAGAUGCUAGUGAGUGUGCCUCAGCUCUCGUCCUGCCUCCACCGGGAAGGUAUUUCACUGCACACACACAGACACUGCGCCUGUGACCGUGUGGGGUGGGGGCAGAGCGACGAAUGCCAGUCUGCAGUUGGCUGUCAUGGUUUGGUGUCUGACCUGUGCCAGGUGAAUUACAGAGAAUCAUGGCUGAUAGACGUGUGGUAGAGACUGAGCAUAGCCCUUCUGCUUCCGUGGCUGUUACUGGCCCUAACACUGCCUGGGGAUCACUGAGUUCCAAGUCCAGCAGGAGCAGAAGAUGCUGAAGUGGCCAUGAAGGUUGUGGGUAGGAUUCAGAUUAGAUGAAUCAAGAACUUCUUCACUUCUGUGAGUUGUAACAAUAACAACAAUAAUAAUAACUGACUUCAUCAAGCACUUACCACGUGCCAGGUACCACGCUAAAACUUUCACAGACUGUAUCCCAUUGAGAGAUUGACGGUAACUUGCUCAAGGUUCCCCAGCAGGUGAGAAGGUGAGGUGGGCCUGAAUGCAGGUGGCCUGAUGCCACCUGAGGUCUGACGCUCGUUGCUAAAGCCACAUCCACUGCCUUCUGCCUUGGGCCUGUCCAGGUCCCUCUGCCAGGUGGGGAGGGUCGCUGCCAGGGGACAGGAAAGUGCACUGCCUUAUCCAUGGAAGGAGCAGCUGGACUUUGUGCCUUCCCCAAGUGGAGCAGUGUACACAGAAUAGGUGCGUGAGUGGAACAUGUCUGGCCAGGCUCUACCGUGAAGGAAGGAUGCAUCGCUCGGGUACCCAAGGCCAUUAGCCCCCUUCCCACAUGGGGGCUGCUCUCUGGCUGUUUAUCAUGCCCAGGGUGUGGAAUUGAUUCCAACAAGCUUGUCCAUUUCCUCCAGAAAGAGUGCAGAGUAGGGGUAUGUGUUCAGGGACAGACCUGGGUUGGUAAUACCUUCCAUAGGGGCAUUUUCCCAGGGGCCUUUGGAACAUCCUCUGCAAGGAUAGGGAGCUGUCCAGGGUCGCCUGGGGCUGGGUGGAAAAAACUGAGACAGUGUGAGCUGGAAGGAAGGCGUCUGUACGAGGCAAUCUGUCAGUGAGGUUAGGGACCUAGGCAGGGUUCAGAGGGCACAUCUGUGGUAUUGUAGGGGGGCAUUUAAUGGGGCCAUUCUGAUGGGGACUGUGGGGCCUGGAGCCCAGCCUAAUGUCUCUAGAAAAGACAAGGACAAGGUAUGGGCCAUUCUCUGUGUAUAUUGCUCAAUUCAGAGCCAGGGUUCUACGGGUUUUUUGAGGUCCAGUAAUGAAGAUAAUGGUAAUUAUUAUCAACAAAUACUUAGCACCUGUUAUUCUGUUAUCCUCCAGGUUUCAGAUGAGACCUGGGAUGUAAUGAUAGAAAAGAUGUGGUCCAAAGUUCAGAAUCCAGAGAAAGAGAGAGAGAUAGAGAUAGAUAGAUAGAUAGAUAGAUAGAGAGAGAGAGAGAGAGAGAGACAGAGAGUUAUUUGGGGUGCUGCUGGUGACUCACAUAGAGGGUCAUGCCCCUGUGAAGUCUUCCAAAAUAGAGUCAUGAAUACAGUCAUGAACAAAGCGUUUGGGAGGAAUUCAGGCAGGGGACACGCAGGCUGGGUCAUCAGAAUGAGUGUCACUCAGCAAGGAGGGGCACACUCCUUCAGCCAGUGCUAUGGUCUCAAUUUGCACCCCCAGCUGCCCCAAACUCAUAAUUAAAAUCCUAAGUCUCAUGGUGAUGGUAUUUGGGGUGUGGUCUUUAUGGGGUGAUUAUAUCACAAGGGUCUGGUCCUCACAAAUGAGGUUAGUAUCUUUAUAAAAGAGACCUGAGGGAGGCUCUGAUCUUUCUACCAUGAGAGGACACAGCUAAAAUUGCCAUCUAUGAACUCAAAAGCUCUUAUCACACACCAGAUAUGCUGGGGUCUUGAUCGUGGACUUCUCAUCCUUUGGAAAUAUGAAAAAUAAAUUUCUGUUGUUUAUAAA